ACCACUUUUUCAGCAACUGCUUCUUCCACGUUCUUAAGAUUCUUCAGUUUCUCUCCCAUCUUUCAAAAACCCUCUGCCAGUUAAUUUACGAUCUCAAUGGCAACCGUAUAAGCCAUUCUCAGAAAGAUAAAAACAGGCUCGACAAAAUGACCACAUAAGUUUACGAGAAUCGUAUAGAAACAAAAUGGAUGCAAAUGUUUUGGGGCUUUCAAUUCAAAAGAAGAAGA